UAGUCUGCACAAAAUAAUUGAGAGCACAGGC
rnacentral:piRNA from 1 species